rnacentral:sRNA from 1 species
AUAGCGUGACAUGUGAGUGGUGCAGUAUUCUAGUCAGUUCUCCAUUCUUGAAGGCGGGGCUAAAAAUCCGCCAAAGGGCACAUCGAUGAAGCUCCUUGUUUGGGCUUGAGGCGCCCAGCCUUGGGUCUUGACUGGGAGAAAAGGUAGUAGGGCGAUCCGCAAAGGCAUGUGGGCGUUGACCCUCCUACUGUGGAGGCCUUUUGCUCGGUCCAUACACGAGUAUGGUACCAGGGCAAAGGGUAUGAACCUGUAACGGCAAGCUAGGGAGCUUGUCUGCAGCGUAGCCUGCCUUGAGUGGAGGUAGAGGGGAUUAUGGAAAUGAGGUCAAAAUGUGUCGGCCAACAGGUUUUGACUUUUACCCAUAUGAAAUCUACUCUGCAAAAGAGGAUAAAAGAAUGGCAAGGAAUUGCUGAGGAAAUCUCCUAGACUGUUCAGUUGACAUUUAAAGAGGAUUGCAGUGUAGACUAAGUGGUAAUCCAGUCUGGCGCUUGGUGACAACGUCAAGUUCAGUAUAAAGGGAAACCGCCACUGCGGCGACGCAGUGGAGCUGAAUUGGGAAAUCCUACUGGACCUAAGCUACAGAGUUUACUCUUUAAAUGACCACUCCUAACAUAUACAUA